rfam:Schistosoma rodhaini strain Burundi genome assembly, scaffold: SROB_scaffold0005090
AUCCAGCUGACUAGUCCCACAUAGGACGAAACGCGUGUCCUGGAU